rnacentral:lncRNA from 1 species
CCGCCGGCGGCAGCAAGCUAAAGGCUCCCCCUUGCGAGGUCAAAUGAGAAGUACGACAGCGGCAAUGUCCUGGAGCAGCACGGCGAUCUGGACGGGAAGGAGGGUAGCAGCAGGACGAGGGGCGCAACUAAGCCCCCUUGCUCUCUUCGGUCGACCCUCCAUGCCCGACGCCACAAGAUCUUCUGUCUGCAGAAAGUGAAUUACUUGCUCAUCUAUUUAUUCUUUUGAAAUUGCAGCUGAAUUUUGUCAAACUUAGAGCAGGAUUUUGCAGCAAGAGAUAUCUCUUACAACCACUGUGCAAUCAUCUCAACGAUGAAAUAUUAGAGUAAGAUUUUGUUAAACUGAAUCUUUCUCAACAGAUUUGGUUAUUUUGCUAAAAAAUCAGUUUUGUAUCCUGCUCUGAAUAUAAAGUGUACUGCUUAUUGCAAGCAUGUUUAAAAUUUCAGUCUGAAAGUCAGUUAACUGAAUUUUGACACAAUAGUUAACUGAAUUUACUGGCAUCCCUAUCAAAUGCAGUUUAUCCGUUCGUCCUGCUUCUCACUUUCUUCUAUGUUUUCUAAGAAAAAACUAACUUCCUUCUGUAGUUAUUCACAUGAUAUAUGUGCCAACUUCCUUUCGCAAAAUCUUGCCAUCUUGACCAACAUUUUGACAGACUUACUGCUAAUCUAGAGCCACAUGAGACUUUGUUGGGUUAGUUAUUUUUCGCACCAACCAACAAUGCAUAGAAAUCUGCUAGAUUACCCAAGUCCAUAGCAAAGGAGGAAGAAAGUGAAAUGUGAGGCUGAU